UACGUAGGGGCAAGCGUUGUCCGGAUUUAUUGGGCGUAAAGAGCGUGUAGGCGGCUUUACAGGUCCGUUGUGAAAACUCGAGGCUCAACCUCGAGACGCCGGUGGAAACCGUAAGGCUAGAGUCCGGAAGAGGAGAGUGGAAUUCAUGGUGUAGCAGUGAAAUGCGUAGAGAUCAUGAGGAAGACCAGUGGCGAAGGCGGGUCUCUGGACAGUUCCUGACACUGAGGCACGAAGGCCAGGGAGCAA
rnacentral:rRNA from 1 species